rnacentral:rRNA from 1 species
CCUACGGGAGGCAGCAGUGAGGAAUAUUGGUCAAUGGACGAGAGUCUGAACCAGCCAAGUAGCGUGAAGGAUGACUGCCCUAGGGGUGGUAAACUUCUUUUAUGAAGGAGUAAAACGAGGCACGUGUGCCUUUUUGCAUGGACUUUAUGAAUAAGGAACGGCUAACUCCGUGCCAGCAGACGCGGUAAUACGGAGGAGCCGAGCGUUAUCCGGAUUUAUUGGGCUUAAGGGGAACGCAGAUGGGGGGUUAAGUCAGAUGUGAAAGUGUGGGGCUCAACCGUAAAAUUGCAAUGGAUACUGGCAGGCUAGAGAACAGUUGAGGUAGGUAGAAUUCGUGGUGUAGCGGUGAAAUGCUUAGAGAUCAGGAGGAAUACCGAUUGCGAAGGCAGCCUACUAAACAGAGACUGACAUUGAUGCGCGAAAGUGUGGGUAUCAAACAGGAUUAGAUACCCUAGUAGUC